CCUUACUCAUUACUUGAGCAGAGUUGGAGCUAGUGUGUAUGUUCUUAUUAACUUUUGCAAAAGGUUUGCUAUUUCUUUCUGAAGAGAAUGUGUGACAUUUUUUUCUAUUUCCACAUGAAUUAUUGAUCAUGCACAAAAAGAAACCCAUAUGACAAGAGAUGGUGCAGUACCUGGAGUUUAGUGUACAGGUGGUGAUCUCUCGGUCUCUAUCUUCCCAAGAAGAGUGUCAUUUGCACUUGAAUAAGGUGUACAGCCUGGAUGUACAGAUGAUAGUGCAGCGGAGGCUGCAGUGAGCUCUCCAACAUGCCCAGGGCUCUGAAGUGGAUUGAAGUAGAGUCUGUCUGGAGAACGCCACUAGUGAGGAAAUUCUACUGUGAGGCAUCUCCACCUCCAGAGCAUUUGCUGCUUCGGUCAAGUGUCCUACUGAUGACACUGGAGCGAUGGGGAAGCCACACACGCAUCGCCUUUCUGCCCAGCUCAGGCUCUAAAAUCGGAAUCUUUAUGAGGCCAUGUAUUAUUUUGAAAGGCGCUUUGGGAACUUAAGUGGAAAACCAAGAUAAUUUUAAAGCUGGUAAUAUGAAGGGAAUUUGUUGAACAUAGGAACUGAGAACUACUUGGGAGGCAGGGUGGGUUGGGGGAGAUAUUUUUCAAAACAUAUUGCCAAGAAUGGGUUAGCGUGGUUCUCAUUGUCCUGUCCCCGGCCAGUGCAGAUCUCUCAGGAUCCUGACAGUGUUCAUUGUAAAGAAAUGUCAUCUGUACUGGAAACUGAUCAUUGACUUUUAAAAUAUAUAUAUGUAUAUUUUUAAAAAUCUUUAUUGUUGAAAGUA